UUUGACAUCCAUGUUGCCCUGGACAUGCCCAAUUUUGUCUAAUCUUGAAAACUAACUGGGUUGGUCCUCAUUAAAUCCUUGGAUGGGAGACUGCUAGGGACUACCAGGUGCUGUGACUU
ensembl:rRNA 5S_rRNA 5S ribosomal RNA